rnacentral:rRNA from 1 species
GACGAACGCUGGCGGCGUGCUUAACACAUGCAAGUCGAACGGAAAGGCCCUGCUUUUGUGGGGUGCUCGAGUGGCGAACGGGUGAGUAACACGUGAGUAACCUGCCCUUGACUUUGGGAUAACUUCAGGAAACUGGGGCUAAUACCGGAUAGGAGCUCCUGCUGCAUGGUGGGGGUUGGAAAGUUUCGGCGGUUGGGGAUGGACUCGCGGCUUAUCAGCUUGUUGGUGGGGUAGUGGCUUACCAAGGCUUUGACGGGUAGCCGGCCUGAGAGGGUGACCGGCCACAUUGGGACUGAGAUACGGCCCAGACCGCUACGGGAGGCAGCAGUGGGGAAUAUUGCACAAUGGGCGGAAGCCUGAUGCAGCAACGCCGCGUGCGGGAUGACGGCCUUCGGGUUGUAAACCGCUUUCGCCUGUGACGAAGCGUGAGUGACGGUAAUGGGUAAAGAAGCACCGGCUAACUACGUG